CCACAAGCUCAGGUAAGUGUAUAAUUGUACCGUUUAAAAAAAAACAACAAAGUUUUACCUAUCAAUUAUUUAAUCAUAAUAAUACAAUGCAGUGUGCAUUGCCAGGGCAACAGCAUCAUCCGUGGACCUGUUUACUUGAACUUUAACGAUGGUGACCUGGAGGAGGAUCUCGAUAAUUUUCGACAUCUUUCCAAGGCGGUGGAUCUGACUUUCAGGAAAAUUCUCUAUGUGACUAGACGUGGUUCAAACAGUCAAUGUAAGAGUGUUCAGUCAUUGUAUAAAAAACGUUUGAAUUUG